rnacentral:rRNA from 1 species
CUACGGGAUGCAGCAGUGGGGAAUAUUGCACAAUGGAGGAAACUCUGAUGCAGCAAGGCCGCGUGGAGGAUGACACUUUUCGGAGCGUAAACUCCUUUUAUAUAGGAAGAAGAUGACGGUACUAUAUGAAUAAGCGCCGGCUAACUCCGUGCCAGCAGCCGCGGUAAUACGGAGGGCGCAAGCGUUACUCGGAAUCACUGGGCGUAAAGAGCGUGUAGGCGGAUUAAAAAGUCAGAAGUGAAAUCCUAUAGCUUAACUAUAGAACUGCUUCUGAAACUCUUAAUCUAGAAUAUGGGAGAGGUAGAUGGAAUUUCUGGUGUAGGGGUAAAAUCCGUAGAGAUCAGAAGGAAUACCGAUUGCGAAGGCGAUCUACUAGAACAUUAUUGACGCUGAGACGCGAAAGCGUGGGGAGCAAACAGGAUUAGAUACCCCGGUAGUC